GCAGUAUGCAUUUUGCACUGGUUACAUUGGAUGUACAAACCUAUCCCACAAAAAACUACAUAGGCAAAGCAAAGGGUAAUUUCCUCUACUUUCGUUGAAAAAUUGCCUCAUCUAUCUGGACUGUGGCAGCUAUUUGGAAAAUAUUAAAGCAAUUUUCUUGCUUGGGGAUACAAAUACCUUAAGGUAAGGGAUUAAGGAGUCAAAGCAAUGAAACAAAAAGAAAACACAAUCACAGGAGCCUGAAAACUGAUUAGAGUUUGUUUAACUUGAAGUUAGUAAUUAAUCAAUAGAUAGCUUAAAGUGAUCCUUACGGUGAUAAGUGGAACAUGUCAUGAGUACAACUUAGCUACUAAUCUUGUUUAUGUAUUUACAAAUGGUCAAGCCAGGAAUUUUCAUUAAAAACUACGUUAAAAGGUUUUGCAUUUAAUUUGUAUUGGAAGCUUCAAAUAGCCUUAAUCAGGUAAGUAUUUGGAUUGAGAUAGGGUCAAACUAUCAGAAAAAUCAAAUAAAGGAGUUAUUUACAGGAAAUUAACAUUGGAACAUGGUGGCACACCAAUAUAAACUGAAAUCUUACGAAACUUUCAUAUGGUAACAUGGUGCAAUCACAUGGCUCGUGCUAUGAGGAAAUAUAUUUGACCAUUGCAGGGAGCACAAUAAAACAAAGCAGCUUAAUGGGAGCUUCGUGAUUGAGAAAACACAGUUUUUCCCCUAUUUAAGAUGCUGCCAACCUCAGCCUUCAUCUGGUGACAGAUUUUAUUCAUGCAACCUGGUUCUCAGUACGUCCCAACUGCCAGCAAGUACCCUAACAACUGUUGCUGUUAUGGUUGACAUUUUGAAGAUUCUACUUGCAUGAAAACCCAGCAUGUUAUGCUUCACUGUGAGGAAGGUACAAUAAGAAGAAUUAUUAUCGGUGCCAGACUUCUCCAGCUGGAGCAUAAACUGGAAGAAACACAAUGUCAAUGGGAAUUACAAAUUCCGGAACUCGAGUUCGAAAUCCUGUCAAUAACUCUGGCUUGCAUCUCUUUCAAAAAAUUAAAAAUGAAUACUUGCAGUUUUUAUUUUAACUACUGUAGAUUGAAUGUAUCUUUCACCAUCAAAAAACCUAUGUAAACAUCCAGUACAUACAAUAACCUCAGAUUCAAUUACUUGAAAUAUAUUAAUUGUGCAAAUUCAA